GACGAACGCUGGCGGCGUGCCUAAUACAUGCAAGUCGAGCGAAGUUUUUCUGGUGCUUGCACUAGAAAAACUUAGCGGCGAACGGGUGAGUAACACGUAAAGAACCUGCCUCAUAGACUGGGACAACUAUUGGAAACGAUAGCUAAUACCGGAUAACAGCAUUAACUGCAUGGUUGAUGUUUAAAAGUUGGUUUUGCUAACACUAUGAGAUGGCUUUGCGGUGCAUUAGCUAGUUGGUGGGGUAAAGGCCUACCAAGGCGACGAUGCAUAGCCGACCUGAGAGGGUGAUCGGCCACACUGGGACUGAGACACGGCCCAGACUCCUACGGGAGGCAGCAGUAGGGAAUCUUCCGCAAUGGGCGAAAGCCUGACGGAGCAACGCCGCGUGAGUGAAGAAGGAUUUCGGUUCGUAAAGCUCUGUUGUUAGGGAAGAAUGAUUGUGUAGUAACUAUACACA
rnacentral:rRNA from 1 species